GAACAAACAAUGUCAGGAGAACUUCUGCACUUUGUUUGAAUUCAGACAAACAUCUGUGUUGUUUUAUAGGUACAGACAUUGUAUUCACCGGAAAGACAGACUUGCCCUGAAAAUAAUCAAGUCAAAGUUGCAACUGGAACAGCCAAACCGCAGCUUUACAAAUCUGUCCAUUUACAAAGUGUUUACAUCCAACAUCCAUCUGCUCUCAGAAGAAAACAUAAUUGCCAUGAUUAUUCAUUUACAUGGUAAGGCACUAAUGAGGCUAUGAUCCACAAACAGAAUCAAGACAGGACUUCACAGUCAUGUAAGAAUGUACAGAAGGAAGAGUUCUGCUUCAUCCGUCAACUAUAAUUAUCAUUUGUUUAGCUCAGUUUGUAAAUACGAUGGUUAUUGGUUCCUAAAAUGGGUAAGACUAAUUAGUAAAUCAGUUUUUUAAAGGGAUUGAUUUGACUUCCUUGGACUGACAUUCCACGGUAUUCAUGUAUAAACCUUAAGCACACUUCGAAAAUUAUAGCUCAGUUUAAGAUGGUUUUCAUUUAUACUGUAAUAACUCAGUUAUUUUAUAUCUUUAUGAUUUUUUCAUGUAGUUAAAACUUGCUAUGAAAGCCAUCUAACUUUUUUUUUUGAUUGCGAAGAUGAAAUUUCCAAUAAACCACUUAAAGGAUACAAAA